GCAAGAACUGGACUACACUAUCUUGGAGGAGGAACACACACACACCCCUGGCAGGAGCUUGGAAGCUAGCGGGAGAAGAAGACACCAAAAUGAUGUGGCUGAGGAAAGAUCUGAAUGAACAAGAGAGAGACAAGUUGAAUGAACUCAGAGAACCCAAACAGAAGAAGAAGGCUGUCUAUCAAGCUGUCAAUCAUGUCUGGAGUCUAAGGCUCUUCAUCUCAUCAGCUCUCCUCCUUAUGCGGCCCCACAGCACACAACUUUCUACUCAAGCUCAUCCCUUUACUGUCCAAAUCUCUUAC